UCUGAGAGGAUGAUCAGCCACUCUGGGACUGAGACACGGCCCAGACUCCUGCGCGAGGCAGCAGUGGGGAAUAUUGGACAAUGGGCGCAAGCAUGAUCCAGCCAUGCCGCGUGAGUGAUGAAGGCCCUAGGGUUGUAAAGCUCUUUCGCCAGGGACGAUAAUGACGGUACCGGGAUAAGAAGCCCCGGCUAACUUCGUGCCAGCAGCCGCGGUAAUACGAAGGGGGCGAGCGUUAUUCGGAUUAACUGGGCGUAAAGCGCACGUAGGCGGAUCUUUAAGUCAGGGGUGAAAUCCCGAGGCUCAACCUCGGAACUGCCUUUGAUACUGGAGAUCUCGAGUUCGGGAGAGGGGAGUGGAACUGCGAGUGUAGAGGUGAAAUUCGUAGAUAUUCGCAAGAACAC
rnacentral:rRNA from 1 species